GUCACUACAUCUGCUAAUUUUUUUGUACGAAUGGAACGAUCAGCAGAUAUAGCAAACUAUUGAUUUGGUAGCAACGUUUUGAUCCCUCUCCAACAAUAUUCGACUUUUAAAAAUUACGCACCAUCUCUCAAAGUAGCGGAACUACGCAAUUUUAUAAUUUAGAAAUGACUUGGCGUGGCAAUCUUCCAAGCCUUGGCUCAAGUUCUAACUAUAGCCAACCAACAUCUUCGUGGAGCUGUCAAUUUACUGUUUCGGAUGGAUACCGGUCAGCGACACACGACUUUGCGACAGGUCAAUGGGCAUCUUCUCACACGCCUGUUCCAGCAUUUCAAGAGUUUCAAAGAGACGUAGCAGCCGCAGAACAAAGGCAACAGCAACUAUCUGCCACUACAGCUAAAGAAAUUGAGAAAUUAGCGUGGGAGAAGAACAAUGCGAAAAUUUUGACCAAUAGCUAUCAACAACGAGAAUACUUAGCGCAAGGGACACUUUUGUGGGAUAAGACUUCUCAAGAGGAAUGCAAACAAGAUCGGAUUGAAUCAAGCUAAGAGUUUUGUGUUUCUCAACUAAAAUCUGACGCUAUAGUCUCCCUUGAUGGUGGCGGAGACAAUGAAAUAGAUUCCAAAUUUCGGGAACGUUCUGCAAAAAUUGGCGAGUUGUUGAGUUUGUCAGCCAAUAUGCAGAAAGAAAGGGAAAAAUUUAUAGAUUUGGCAAAGGAAAUUCAAUCAAAUGGCAACUUUCCAAAUACGAUUGGUUUACAAAGGAAUUUGCCUGAAGUCAAGGCAUCAACUUCUAAAACAAGUUAGUAUGUAUAACUAAAAUCAAAUAAAAAUCAAUACGCCGUCGCAAAUAAAAAUUAAACUCUUUCUACAAGAAUAUGUAACUAUACACCUACUGUUCAUGUGAAAAAAGUAUGGCCUCAGAAGUUCUAAAAGGUUACCUGGCGGAAUUUGUUAUUUUUUAAAUAGAUUUUAUCCAUUACCAAUUUAUACUUUCGCCGUGCGUCACUCAAUAACAUAUUUGGGAUAACAACAAUUAGCCGGGUAAUUAUUGCCCAAUUAAACAAUUAUCCAAGUAUAAACCGGGCGUUAUACAAAUUUGUUCCGGUGUCAAAAUUCAGAUUUGCCAAGAAAUUAUGUUAUGCACAUGUUAGCUGCAAGGUAACCUUUUCGAGAAACUUGGCUCGGGGAAGGCCAUACGACAAAAUAUAUCUUGGAAACAGAGCUACAUUUCUUAUCGUGUGGGGGAAGGCUAUGCUUUUUUCAUAUGAGCAGGAGUUUCAUACAUAAUUAUCUGCAUAUCGUCGUACUAAUUCAGAAAAGACCUAAGUGCAGUGGAUGCUUUAUUCAGAA